GCAGAUGAUGAACAAUGGGUCUGCUGAAAUUGAUGAUGACCCGUUGGAGCACUGAUG
rnacentral:snoRNA from 1 species